rnacentral:rRNA from 1 species
AUGAGCCCAACCGCACCAGUGCGUCCCACACGUCCCGCGCGCACCCGACGCGCCCAACGAGGCCGACCGCACCAGACGCUCACCACGCACCGCCUCCACGUCCGCCAUGGCAGCCGCCAGCGACAAACGCCGGAAGGAUGUAGCGGAACUCGAGCACGGACUCGAGCACAACGGCGACAUACGCCUCCUCCCAACGUCAACCGCACGCUGUACGCGCGCCCGUGGUCCCGACGCGUCCAGUGCGCACCCAUAACACGCUCCAGUCGCGCCCGGCUCGCCGCCACGGCUUAUUGCCCUGCACCGCUGCGGCCUCAACCGCAGCGCAGCACCUCCAUGCUGCCAUGCCGCUGUGUGUCGUUGAAGCCGCCACCACGCAGGUCCUCCGCGUCCUCCUCACCGUGCCGACGCAGCCACCGCGGCCUCCUCGCCGCGCCGCGCACCUCCAUAGACCGACACACGGCCCGGAGCAUCGCGCAGCCGCCGGCGAACUCCGCCACCGCAGGCACGCCUCCGGCAAGGAGAACGACGCCCAAGAUGAACCAACUCAUGAUACCAAUUGUUGGUGUCUAG